UCCCUGGUGGGCUAGUGGUUAAGAUUUGGCGCUUUCAUAGCUACAGCCCAGGUUCAGUCCCUGGUCUGGGAA
rnacentral:tRNA from 1 species